CCUACGGGGGGCAGCAGUGAGGAAUAUUGGUCAAUGGACGAGAGUCUGAACCAGCCAAGUAGCGUGAAGGAUGACUGCCCUAUGGGUUGUAAACUUCUUUUAUAUGGGAAUAAAAUGUUCCACGUGUGGGAUUUUGUAUGUACCAUAUGAAUAAGGAUAGGCUAACUCCGUGCCAGCAGCCGCGGUAAUACGGAGGAUCCGAGCGUUAUCCGGAUUUAUUGGGUUUAAAGGGAGCGUAGGUGGAUUGUUAAGUCAGUUGUGAAAGUUUGCGGCUCAACCGUAAAAUUGCAGUUGAAACUGGCAGUCUUGAGUACAGUAGAGGUGGGCGGAAUUCGUGGUGUAGCGGUGAAAUGCUUAGAUAUCACGAAGAACUCCGAUUGCGAAGGCAGUUCACUGGACUGCAACUGACACUGAGGCUCGAAAGUGUGGGUAUCAAACAGGAUUAGAUACCCUAGUAGUC
rnacentral:rRNA from 1 species